AUUUUUAGAUAUGAUAGGGAUCUCUAUGUUGCACAGGCCGGACUUGAAUUCCUGGACUCAAGGUAUCCUCCUGCCUCGGCCUCUAGAGUAGCUGAGACUAUAAGCAUAUGCCACUGCUCUCAGCUUUGUCUUCUAUUUUUUUUUUUUUACUAUUGCGUGUUACCAGAUUUUAAAUUUUCUUUUUUUUUUUUAAUUUUUUUUUGUGGUGGAGUCUCGCUCUGUUGCCCAGGCUGGAGCACAAUGGCAUGAUCUAGGCUCACUGCAACUUCCGCCUCCCGGGUUCAAGUAGUUCUCUGCCUCAGCCUCCCGAGUAGCUGGGAUUAUAGGCACCACCCACCAUGCCCAGCUAAUUUUUGUAUUUUUAGUAGAGACAGAGUUUCACCAUCUUGGCCAG
rnacentral:lncRNA from 10 species